AACGAACGCUGGCGGCAUGCCUAACACAUGCAAGUCGAACGAGACCUUCGGGUCUAGUGGCGCACGGGUGCGUAACGCGUGGGAACCUGCCCUUAGGUUCGGAAUAACUCCCCGAAAGGGGUGCUAAUACCGGAUAAUGUCUUCGGACCAAAGAUUUAUCGCCUUUGGAUGGGCCCGCGUUGGAUUAGCUAGUUGGUAGGGUAAAAGCCUACCAAGGCGACGAUCCAUAGCUGGUCUGAGAGGAUGAUCAGCCACACUGGGACUGAGACACGGCCCAGACUCCUACGGGAGGCAGCAGUGGGGAAUAUUGGACAAUGGGCGAAAGCCUGAUCCAGCAAUGCCGCGUGAGUGGUGAAGGCCUUAGGGUUGUAAAGCUCUUUUACCCGGGAUGAUAAUGACAGUACCGGGAGAAUAAGCUCCGGCUAACUCCGU
rnacentral:rRNA from 1 species